rnacentral:lncRNA from 1 species
CCUCCUUCUCUUUCUUCCCGAAAUUUAGGAUUUCUUUAUUUCCUGCAAGAAAGCCAACCCGAUUCCCCUUGUCUCACACCAGCAGCCCCGCCUCAACCGGGCCUCUCUCUCUAACUCUCUCUCUCUCUCUCUCUCUCUCUCUCUCUCUCUCUCUCUCUCUCUCUCUCACUAAAUAUACGCCAGAUAUUGGAAUUCGGGACACCCUGUCACCCACACAAGAUCUCAUAUGCUAUAAGGUCGGUGACCAGGGAAAAUAUCAAAGGCAAUUUCAAAGAUCUAAGGAGGACCAACCAGAU